UACGGGGGGGGCAAGCGUUGUUCGGAAUUACUGGGCGUAAAGGGCUCGUAGGUGGCCAACUAAGUCAGACGUGAAAUCCCUCGGCUUAACCGGGGGACUGCGUCUGAUACUGGAUGGCUUGAGUUCGGGAGAGGGAUGCGGAAUUCCAGGUGUAGCGGUGAAAUGCGUAGAUAUCUGGAGGAACACCGGUGGCGAAGGCGGGUCUCUGGGCCGAUACUGACGCUGAGGAGCGAAAGCGUGGGGAGCGAACAGG
rnacentral:rRNA from 1 species